UGGGGAAUAUUGCACAAUGGGCGCAAGCCUGAUGCAGCCAUGCCGCGUGUGUGAAGAAGGCCUUCGGGUUGUAAAGCACUUUCAGCGAGGAGGAAGGGUUCAGUGUUAAUAGCACUGUUCAUUGACGUUACUCGCAGAAGAAGCACCGGCUAACUCCGUGCCAGCAGCCGCGGUAAUACGGAGGGUGCAAGCGUUAAUCGGAAUUACUGGGCGUAAAGCGCACGCAGGCGGUUUGUUAAGUCAGAUGUGAAAUCCCGCGCUUAACGUGGAACUGCAU
rnacentral:rRNA from 1 species